GGUUUCCGUAGGUAGGAUCAUUA
rnacentral:rRNA from 1 species